GAUGAACGCUGGCGGUAUGCUUAACACAUGCAAGUCGAACGGUCACUUCGGUGAUAGUGGCGGACGGGUGAGUAACGCGUGAGAAUCUGUCUUCAGGUCGGGGACAACAGUUAGAAAUGACUGCUAAUACCGGAUGUGCCUUUGGGUGAAAGAUUUAUUGCCUGAAAAAGAGCUCGCGUCAGAUUAGCUAGUAGGUGGUGUAAGAGACUACCUAGGCUCCGAUCUGUAGCUGGUCUGAGAGGACGAUCAGCCACGCUGGAACUGAGACACGGUCCAGACUCCUACGGGAGGCAGCAGUGGGGAAUUUUCCGCAAUGGGCGAAAGCCUGACGGAGCAAUACCGCGUGAGGGACGAAGGCCUUUGGGUCGUAAACCUCUUUUCUCAAGGAAGAUGAUGACGGUACUUGAGGAAUAAGCAUCGGCUAACUCUGUG
rnacentral:rRNA from 1 species